CGGAGUGUAGCGCAGCUUGGUAGCGCAACUGGUUUGGGACCAGUGGGUCGGGGGUUCGAAUCCCUCCACUCCGACCA
rnacentral:tRNA from 1 species